rnacentral:ncRNA from 1 species
CUCAGGGCUGGGUGAAAUUCCCGACCGGCGGUAUACCCCGCGAACCGAUAUUCGGAACGAACCGGUGAAAUUCCGGUGGCGACAGUAAAGUCUGGAUGGAAGAGU